rnacentral:rRNA from 1 species
AUUGAACGCUGGCGGCAGGCCUAACACAUGCAAGUCGAACGAGUGGCGGACGGGUGAGUAAUGUCUGGGAAACUGCCCGAUGGAGGGGGAUAACUACUGGAAACGGUAGCUAAUACCGCAUACCAUCGGAUGUGCCCAGAUGGGAUUAGCUUGUAGGUGAGGUAACGGCUCACCUAGGCGACGAUCCCUAGCUGGUCUGAGAGGAUGACCAGCAAAACUGGAACUGAGACACGGUCCAGAAUCCUACGGGAGGCAGCAGUUGGGAAUAUGGAAAAAUGGGCGCAAGCCUGAUGCAGCCAUGCCGCGUUGAUGAAGAAGGCAUUCGGGUUGUAAAGUACUUUCAGCGGGGAGGCGUUACCCGCAGAAGAAGCACCGGCUAACGCCUUGCCAGACGCCGCGGUAAUUC